ACGAACGCUGGCGGCGUGCCUAAUACAUGCCAGUAGAACGCUGAAGGAGGAGCUUGCUCUUCUGGAUGAGUUGCGAACGGGUGAGUAACGCGUAGGUAACCUGCCUGGUAGCGGGGGAUAACUAUUGGAAACGAUAGCUAAUACCGCAUAAGAGUAGAUGUUGCAUGACAUUUGCUUAAAAGGUGCAAUUGCAUCACUACCAGAUGGACCUGCGUUGUAUUAGCUAGUUGGUGGGGUAACGGCUCACCAAGGCGACGAUACAUAGCCGACCUGAGAGGGUGAUCGGCCACACUGGGACUGAGACACGGCCCAGACUCCUACGGGAGGCAGCAGUAGGGAAUCUUCGGCAAUGGACGGAAGUCUGACCGAGCAACGCCGCGUGAGUGAAGAAGGUUUUCGGAUCGUAAAGCUCGGUUGUAAGAGAAGAACGAGUGUGAGAGUGGAAAGUUCACACUGUGACGGUAUCUUACCAGAAAGGGACGGCUAACUACGUG
rnacentral:rRNA from 1 species